rnacentral:tRNA from 1 species
CGGGCUAUAGCGCAGUCUGGUAGCGCGCUACACUGGGGGUGUAGAGGCCGUGGGUUCGAAUCCCGCUAGCCCGACCA